GACGAACGCUGGCGGCGUGCCUAAUACAUGCAAGUAGAACGCUAAAGGAGGAGCUUGCUUCUCUGGAUGAGUUGCGAACGGGUGAGUAACGCGUAGGUAACCUGCCUUGUAGCGUGGGAUAACUAUUGGAAACGAUAGCUAAGACCGCAUAAGAUUAGAUGUUGCAUGACAUUUGCUUAAAAUUUGCAAUUUCCUCACUACCAUGUGGACCUGCGUUGUAUUCGCUAGUUGGUGGGGUAACGGCUUACCCAGGCGACGAUACAUAGCCGACCUGAGAGGGUGAUCCGCCGAACUGGGAAUGAGACACGGGCCAGACUCCUACGGGAGGCAGCAGUAGGGAAUCUUCGGAAAUGGACGGAAGUCUGAACGAGCAAAGCCGGGUGAGUGAAGAAGGUUUUCGGAUCGUAAAGCUCUGUUGUAAGAGAAGAAAGAGUGUGAGAGUGGAAAGUCCACACUGUGACGGUACCUUAACAGAAAGCGACGGCUAACUACGUG
rnacentral:rRNA from 1 species